UACGUAGGGGGCUAGCGUUGUCCGGAAUCAUUGGGCGUAAAGAGCGUGUAGGCGGCUCGGUAAGUCCGCUGUGAAAGUCCAGGGCUCAACCCUGGAAUGCCGGUGGAAACUGUCGAGCUAGAGUCCGGAAGAGGCGAGUGGAAUUCCUGGUGUAGCGGUGAAAUGCGCAGAUAUCAGGAGGAACACCGAUGGCGAAGGCGGGUCUCUGGGCCGAUACUGACGCUGAGGAGCGAAAGCGUGGGGAGCGAACAGG
rnacentral:rRNA from 1 species